rnacentral:rRNA from 1 species
AGAGUUUGAUCCUGGCUCAGAGCGAACGCUGGCGGCAGGCUUAACACAUGCAAGUCGAGCGGGCCCUUUCGGGGGUCAGCGGCGGACGGGUGAGUAACGCGUGGGAACGUGCCCUCUGGUUCGGAAUAACUCAGGGAAACUUGAGCUAAUACCGGAUACGCCCUUUUGGGGAAAGGCUUGCUGCCGGAGGAUCGGCCCGCGUCUGAUUAGCUAGUUGGUGAGGUAACGGCUCACCAAGGCGACGAUCAGUAGCUGGUCUGAGAGGAUGAUCAGCCACACUGGGACUGAGACACGGCCCAGACUCCUACGGGAGGCAGCAGUGGGGAAUAUUGGACAAUGGGCGCAAGCCUGAUCCAGCCAUGCCGCGUGAGUGAUGAAGGCCUUAGGGUUGUAAAGCUCUUUUAUCCGGGACGAUAAUGACGUACCGGAGAA